GGGCCCAUAGCUCAGUUGGUUAGAGCAGCUGACUCAUAAUCAGCGGGUCCCAGGUUCGAGUCCUGGUGGGCCCA
rnacentral:tRNA from 3 species